rnacentral:rRNA from 1 species
ACUGCUCAGUAACACGUGGAUAAUCUGCCCUAAGGUCAGGCAUAACACCGGGAAACUGGUGAUAAUUCCUGAUAUACCAUAGAUACUGGAAUGUUCUGUGGUCAAAAGCUCCGGCGCCUUAGGAUGAAUCUGCGGCCUAUCAGGUUGUAGUGGGUGUAACGUACCUACUGGCCGACGACGGGUACGGGUUGUGAGAGCAAGAGCCCGGAGAUGGAUUCUGAGACAUGAAUCCAGGCCCUACGGGGCGCAGCAGGCGCGAAAACUUUACAAUGCGGGAAACCGCGAUAAGGGGACACUGAGUGCCAGCAUACAAUGUUGGCUGUCCGCAUGUAUAAAUAGCAUGUGUUAGCAAGGGCCGGGCAAGACCGGUGCCAGCCGCCGCGGUAACACCGGCGGCCCGAGUGGUGGCCACUAUUAUUGGGUCUAAAGGGUCCGUAGCCGGUUUGAUCAGUCUUCCGGGAAAUCUGACAGCUCAACUGAUAGGCUUCCGGGGGAUACUGUCAGACUUGGGACCGGGAGAGGUAAGAGGUACUACAGGGGUAGGAGUGAAAUCUUGUAAUCCUUGUGGGACCACCAGUGGCGAAGGCGUCUUACCAGAACGGGUCCGACGGUGAGGGACGAAAGCUGGGGGCACGAACCGGAUUAGAUACCCGGGUAGUCCCAGCCGUAAACGAUGCUCGCUAGGUGUCUGGGAUGGUGCGACCGUUUCAGGUGCCGCAGGGAAGCCGUGAAGCGAGCCACCUGGGAAGUACGGCCGCAAGGCUGAAACUUAAAGGAAUUGGCGGGGGAG